ACUCAAGCUACACAGGGCGCACGGUGGAUGCCCUGGCGCCAAGGACCGAUGAAGGACGCUGUCGGCGGCGAAAGGGCCGGGGAGGUGCCUAGCAACCUUCGAUCCGGCCGUCUCCGAAUGGGGUAACCCCCCGCGGGUCAUGCCGCGGGACCCACCGCUGAAUCCAUAGGCGGUGCGGAGGCCAGCCUGGGAACUGAAACAUCUCAGUACCAGGAGGAAGAGAAAUCAACCGAGAUUCCCCUAGUAGUGGCGAGCGAACGGGGAACAGCCCAAACC
rnacentral:rRNA from 1 species